GUAAUAGUAGUUGCUAAAUAUUACAAAUUUACCUCAUCUUACAAAUACAUACAAGUAAUCUAUAAUAUAUUGGAUGCUUCAGCUUGGACUGAGGCCAGUAUCCCAGCUGGAGAGGUGUGAGAGACUAGUCCAUAUUUAGCCAGGGAGAGAGGAGAAGUACUUGGAGACAGGGUAGUGUAGAGAGGAAAGGGACUAGGGGAAAGGUUAGUGUAGAAAGGAAAGGGACAGGUUAGUGUAGAGAGGAAAGGGACUGGGGGGACAGGUUAGUGUAGAGAGGAAAGGGACUGGGGGACAGGUUAGUGUAGAGAGGAAAGGGACUGGGGGCAGGUUAGUGUGUAGAGUGGAAAGGGACUGGGGACAGGGUAGUGUAGAGAGGAAAGGGACUGGGGGACAUGGUAGUGUAGAGAGGAAAGGGACUGGGGGGACAGGUUAG
rnacentral:lncRNA from 1 species